rnacentral:rRNA from 1 species
GAUGAACGCUGGCGGCGUGCCUAAUACAUGCAAGUCGAGCGAACAGACGAGGAGCUUGCUCCUCUGACGUUAGCGGCGGACGGGUGAGUAACACGUGGAUAACCUACUUAUAAGACGGGGAUAACUUCGGGAAACGGGAGCUAAGACCGGAUAAUAUAUUGAACCGCAGGGUUCAAUAGUGAAAGACGGUUUUGCUGUCACUUAUAGAUGGAUCCGCGCCGCAUUAGCUAGUUGGUAAGGUAACGGCUUACCAAGGCAACGAUGCGUAGCCGACCUGAGAGGGUGAUCGGCCACACUGGAACUGAGACACGGUCCAGACUCCUACGGGAGGCAGCAGUAGGGAAUCUUCCGCAAUGGGCGAAAGCCUGACGGAGCAACGCCGCGUGAGUGAUGAAGGUCUUCGGAUCGUAAAACUCUGUUAUUAGGGAAGAACAAAUGUGUAAGUAACUAUGCACGUCUUGACGGUACCUAAUCAGAAAGCCACGGCUAACUACGUG